rnacentral:rRNA from 1 species
GACGAACGCUGGCGGCGUGCUUAACACAUGCAAGUCGAACGGUGAAGCGCCUUCCUUUUUGGUGGGUGUGGAUGAGCGGCGAACGGGUGAGUAACACGUGAGUAACCUGCCCCCUUCUUCUGGAUAACCGCAUGAAAGUGUGGCUAAUACGGGAUAUUCUGGGUCUGUCGCAUGAUGGGUCUGGGAAAGAUAUUGUUUCGGUGGGGGAUGGGCUCGCGGCCUAUCAGCUUGUUGGUGGGGUGAUGGCCUACCAAGGCGGUGACGGGUAGCCGGCCUGAGAGGGUGGACGGUCACACUGGGACUGAGACACGGCCCCGACUCCUACGGGAGGCAGCAGUGGGGAAUAUUGCACAAUGGGCGCAAGCCUGAUGCAGCGCCGCCGCGUGAGGGAUGGAGGCCUGCGGGUUGUGAACCUCUUUCGCCAGUGAAGCAGGCCUGCCUCGUUUGUGGGUGGGUUGACGGUAGCUGGAGAAGAAGCGCCGGCUAACUACGUG